rnacentral:rRNA from 1 species
AAUGGUUGAGACAAAGGAUUGCGAUCUCACGAGUGUGAACUAACCCUAAAAACUCAUUCAUAGUUUAGAUUGAAGGUUGCAACUAGCUCGUAUAAAG